ACAUCGAAAGCUUGCUUUUGAUGGGCGUCGACCGGCGCACGGGUGAGUAACGCGUAUCCAACCUGCCCAUCACUUGGGGAUAACCUUGCGAAAGUAAGACUAAUACCCAAUGACAUCCAUAGAAGACAUCUGAAAUGGAUUAAAGAUUUAUCGGUGAUGGAUGGGGAUGCGUCUGAUUAGCUUGUUGGCGGGGUAACGGCCCACCAAGGCGACGAUCGGUAGGGGUUCUGAGAGGAAGGCCCCCACAAUGGGACUGAGACACGGCCCAUACUCC
rnacentral:rRNA from 1 species